rnacentral:rRNA from 1 species
ACGGAAGGCAGCAGUGGGGAAUAUUGCACAAUGGGGGAAACCCUGAUGCAGCGAUGCCGCGUGGAGGAAGAAGGUUUUCGGAUUGUAAACUCCUGUCUUAAAGGACGAUAAUGACGGUACUUUAGGAGGAAGCUCCGGCUAACUACGUGCCAGCAGCCGCGGUAAUACGUAGGGAGCGAGCGUUGUCCGGAAUUACUGGGUGUAAAGGGAGCGUAGGCGGGAUUGCAAGUCAGAUGUGAAAUACAGGGGCGCAACCUCUGGGCUGCAUUUGAAACUGUAGUUCUUGAGUGAAGUAGAGGUAAGCGGAAUUCCUGGUGUAGCGGUGAAAUGCGUAGAUAUCAGGAGGAACACCGGUGGCGAAGGCGGCUUACUGGGCUUUUACUGACGCUGAGGCUCGAAAGCGUGGGGAGCAAACAGGAUUAGAUACCCUGGUA